GACAGCCCCCGAAAGGGGGAAGUUAAAAAUAAAAUUUGGUCGUGUUGGUAGACUUUGAAAGUUAAUUUUCAAAGGUUGAAGAUUCGGCUGAUGUGCAUACAA
rnacentral:sRNA from 1 species